rnacentral:rRNA from 1 species
GUAGGUGGCAAGCGUUGUCCGGAAUUAUUGGGCGUAAAGCGCGCGCAGGUGGUUCUUCAAGUCUGAUGUGAAAGCCCCCGGCUCAACCGGGGAGGGUCAUUGGAAACUGGGGAACUUGAGUGCAGGAGAGGAAAGUGGAAUUCCACGUGUAGCGGUGAAAUGCGUAGAUAUGGGGAGGAACACCAGUGGCGAAGGCGACUUUCUGGCCUGUAACUGACACUGAGGCGCGAAAGCGUGGGGAGCAAACAGGGAUUAGAUACCCUGGUAGUCCACGCCGUAAACGAUGAGUGCUAAGUGUUGGGGGGGUUUCCCGCCCCUCAGUGCUGCUGCUAACGCAUUAAGCACUCCGCCUGGGGAGUACGGUCGCAAGACUG